UGCCCAGCAACUCCUAUCCCAACCUCCCCGCGGUACUGGCAGGGGUAUGAGCAACCUGGGGAGUACGAGUAACCAACCCCGGUGCUGAAAGGGAAGG
rnacentral:ribozyme from 1 species